UGAGGUAGUAGAUUGUAUAGUUCUGGGUCACACCCGCGCGGAGAUAACUAUACAGCCUACUGUCUUUC
rnacentral:pre_miRNA from 1 species